rnacentral:rRNA from 1 species
GAUGAACGCUGGCGGCGUGCCUAAUACAUGCAAGUCGAGCGAACAGACGAGUAGCUUGCUCCUCUGACGUUAGCGGCGGACGGGUGAGUAACACGUGGAUACCCUCCCUAUAAGACUGGGAUAACUUCGGGAAACCGUAGCUAGUACCGGAUAAUAUUUUGAACCGCAUGGUUCAAUAGUGAAAGACGGUUUUGCUGUCACUUAUAGAUGGAUCCGCGCUGCAUUAGCUAGUUGGUAAGGUAACGGCUUACCAAGGCCACGAUGCGUAGCCGACCUGAGAGGGUGAUCGGCCACACUGGAACUGAGACACGGUCCAGACUCCUACGGGAGGCAGCAGUAGGGAAUCUUCCGCAAUGGGCGAAAGCCUGACGGAGCAACGCCGCGUGAGUGAUGAAGGUCUUCGGAUCGUAAAACUCUGUUAUUAGGGAAGAACAAAUGUGUAAGUAACUAUGCACGUCUUGACGGUACCUAAUCAGAAAGCCACGGCUAACUACGUG